GAUUUGCCAUGGCUAAUUUGUGUUUUAUAUAAUCCUGUUUUGGUGAGCGUUACCAACCAUACUCUCUUUCAUGGCUGACGAGUGUAGAGUCUCUAUGGAAUAUAAUCCUUUAAACUAUCCGAGUCUCUGUAUGGGGUUCCACAAAGCUAUAUUAAGGGCUGGUCACCAUUCUCCUAAGGACUCUACUUGAUGAGUAGAGUUCAACGAAUGAAGUUGGG
rnacentral:misc_RNA from 1 species